rnacentral:rRNA from 1 species
UGCAAGUCGAGCGGAACGAAGGUAGCUUGCUACCAGGCGUCGAGCGGCGGACGGGUGAGUAACGCGUAGGAAUCUGCCUAGUAGAGGGGGACAACAUGUGGAAACGCAUGCUAAUACCGCAUACGCCCUGAGGGGGAAAGGAGGGGAUCACUUGUGACCUUCCGCUAUUAGAUGAGCCUGCGUGAGAUUAGCUAGUUGGUAGGGUAAAGGCCUACCAAGGCGACGAUCUCUAACUGGUCUGAGAGGAUGACCAGUCACACUGGGACUGAGACACGGCCCAGACUCCUACGGGAGGCAGCAGUGGGGAAUAUUGGACAAUGGGCGCAAGCCUGAUCCAGCCAUGCCGCGUGUGUGAAGAAGGCCUUAGGGUUGUAAAGCACUUUCAGGGGUGAGGAAGGGUGAGUCGCUAAUAUCGACUUAUCUUGACGUUAGCCCCAGAAGAAGCACCGGCUAACUCUGUGCCAGCAGCCGCGGUAAUACAGAGGGUGCAAGCGUUAAUCGGAAUUACUGGGCGUAAAGCGCGCGUAGGUGGUUUGUUAAGUCUGAUGUGAAAUCCCA